AAAAUAAUCCUCACUGCGUAGCAGAGGAGACAUCCUAGUAUAUGCAGACAGUAUUUCUGGACUUGCAGAGAUGAUUCUGACUUAAGACAUUUGGUAAACUCUGGUGAGAGCAGGGAACAUACACUCUCCUUUAUUCACCCCUGGCAUCCCAGUGCCUGGCAAAGAGCCUGGAGCAGAGUAGGUACUUAAUAGAUAGCUGUCAAAUGAGCAAAUGCUUAGAUCGUCUGAGUUGGACAAACAAGCUCCCUAGAGCUCUGCAGGGAGUUAAGAUUUCGGUGUGCUCUCUGCUGCCUGUUACCCCGGAACCCCCUGAUUCCCUCUCAGGAGGUCCUCCUCACUUCACCCUCUUCUCUCUAACGCACCCCUUCGGACCUGGGCUCAGCAAUUUUGCAUGCAACAUCUUACUCCAUGUCCCCAAGCCCAAGUUGCUGAAGAUAACUAAUAUUAGCAGGUCAGAGCCAGCACAGAUGUACUUUAAGAUGCUUAGCGGGGCUGGAGAGCCCUAGACAGAACCGGGUGUAUUUUUAGCUCUUUGGGUAUCUGGAAAGGUAUUGGGAUGUAGUCAUUGUUACAGACACUCAGGCAAAUCAGUAUUCUGCUACUGGCCUCUCCGUACCAGGCUGUUUCCAUUCAGUGUCUCAAAAGCAAGGGUUGCCAUGGAGAUUGAGUGCCAGGACAACCGAACUUCCUCCCAGGAAACAGCCGCACAGGUGGAGCUCCGGGCCAAUGGGGAUCAAGAAGCUCCUCAGAUGGCCACAGCCUUCUCCCCUGAAGAUAAAUGAUGGCAGAAGUCCCUGGCACCCUCAGAAGGGGUCAGCCAGAAGAUGGUGGAUAGUGUCUCUGGAACUUCAUUCAGGGAGGGGCUGAUUGUAUUUCUCACUGACACUUGCUGUGGACCUCUUUAGUUCUCUUCCUGGUCCUUCCUUCAACAAAGGGAUUUGGCCACCCAGGAAGCGGUCUGGAGCUGCUCAAAGAGAGGAAGGUGGCAGGGCCAUUUUCUAGUAGAGGCCAGUUCUGGCAAAUACCUAGAACACAAGCUCUGCAUGAGGUCAGGGGAGGCCAGUCCUGCAGCCAUUAGAAUUACAGUAGCCCGCUCUUCUGGGUGGCAUGGUACAGGGUCAUCUUAUUCUAUCCUUGCUAUCAUCUGGGGAGGCAGCCAAGACAGGUGGCAUGAUCCCCACUUUCCUCCUUCAUUCAACAGACAUUUCCUGUGUACCUCAACCGAGAUGAAAACCCAAGGCUCCAAGAGGCUGUGAAACCCACCUACAGUUACAAAGUGAUAGAGCGGAACCAGAAGAGCACCCAGAUCUCUCCAGUCCAUAGAUUCAGAAGGACAUGAGCUCAAAGAAGCCUUUAGAGAGUAUUUAGUGUGACCCUCACACGUCAGAGAAAAUAAACUGAGGCCCAAAAGAGCACAGGACUUGGUCACUCAGAGCUUGUAGUGGAGCAGUGCCAGGAUUCUUUUGCCCACUGUUCUCAGCACCUGUAGCUCUUUAGAGAUGUUCCAGCUUUUACUAGACAUCACGCUGUGCCAGGCAGUGGAUCAGUAAGAAUUACAUUUAGUUGUGAUUAAUGAAGACCUGACCACCGUGACUUAAACAAAGGCUUAAGUCUCUCUCAUAAAAGUCCAGAGGCAGGUUUCAGAGAAGGUAUGGCAGCUCUGACCAAGUCAUCAGGGAUGCAGGUUUCUUCCAGCUUUCUGCAUCACUGUCUUUGGACAUAGCUUUAAUCCUAAAAUGUCCAAGAUGACUGCUGGAGUUUUAGCCAUCACAUUUACAUUUCAGGCAGGAAAGGUGGGAAUAGAAAGGAACAAAAUGGCACAGCAUGCAUGCCUGACCUGCCUGCCCCGUGAGGAGUCUUUCUGCGAUCCCAUCCAAGUUCUACUUAUAACCCUCUCACACUGGCCAGUUGCAAGGGAGGUUAAGCAAUGCUGUCUUUUACCUGGGCACGUCGUUGUGCUAAAUGAAUUUGAGCUUGUGGUAGAAAUGAAGAAUGAUAUUGGCAGCAGCCAGCAAUUUCUGCCAUAGACACUUUCCUAGGCACUGUAGGGAGGUACUACCCAUAUAUCUGGAAUCUGUAUCUAGAUUUGUAUUUCUCCUAAGAUUUACAAAAAGUUUUGUUUCCUGCUUCUUAAAAUUGUUCUGUACUUUCUAAAUUUUCUUCAGUGUGUAUAUGUUGAUUUGACAAUGAGAGAAAAAAAACCAUCCAUCCUCCUGAUUUAUUCACACGGAUGACUGUUAACCCUGCCCAGAGUCACCUAGGCUAUGCUGCUUUUAAAAGGACACACAAAAAUUCUUAAUAUUUGACAAAAUAGUAAAUCUAUUUAGCUUGAAUGAAAUCUACCAUAUCACCUUUGGAAGAGGCGUGGAGCAGAAGUGGCAAAUCCUCCAAGGCGCUGAUGAGAAUCACAGCUUCAAGUACAGUCAGCGCCCCAGCCCUGAGCCUCCCCUCCUCCUGCUCCCACCUCCUCUUGCCUGGGAGAGCCUCCCACACAAGGUCUUCCCCGUGCUGAAAUCCAACGCCCUCAGGGGCUGCUGGGCUGCACUCCCAUCUGGACGCAGGAUGAAUAGCAGGGUUGGAUGCUGUGGCUCUGCGGUUGAGGCUCAGCCUUUGCGCAGCCUGUCGCAGAUGGCUCCAUUUAUUUGUGAAUCGGAGGUGUCCUCCUCAAGCACUCAGAAGGUAGGUCAAGGACCUGGAGGAGCCUCCUUUUCCCCACAGUAAACCAAAGGCUGGGUCCAGGCAUCCCGGUCCCUACUGUCUCCAAGGAAAUUGUUCAGGAAUGAAUCGUAGGCCAGCUCAGUGUGUGACUGGGGCACAUGGAGAACCCCCUGAAGACUUUCUCUCAGUGUGCUGCUUGUCUAAGGCAUGAUGAACAAGUUUUUGAGAGGGGAUGGUGGACGAGCAAGGAUCAGUCUAUUCCAUAUGGAAUUGAAGCAUGAGUGGUUAAUUCAUGAAAUGAGCCCAGACAUUCCGAGUUAUUCCAGAAUCUUUCCUCCCCUUCAUCUCACUAAAUGGAUGUCAAUUUUAUUUGGGGCUGUAAUGUGCUCAGUUGAUAUCUGAUCUCUCAGGCUCUCUUGCAGUGUUCACAGUACUGGACAAUGAAAUGGAGGUGCAGGGUUCUGAGAAGGGCAUGUGUGCAUGCAGAGAAAGGCCCAAGAGGAGAGUAAGGCUGCAUUUGGCCUCACCCUGCCCCUCUUCCCACCUGAAGGAGGAGAUGCCUGGGAAUGAAGCAGCUGUCUCACGCUCCUGAAAAGGAAAGCCCCAUGCUAGGAUGGUGGCGCAGGAAGCUAGAAAGAUCUGAGGUUCUUCUUAACUUUCUUAACAACAUCUCUGGACUCUCUGCUUCCUGAUUUCUUGUUAUAUGACAAAAAUAAAAGCAUCAUUUGGGUAAGCCAGUGUGGUUGGGUUUUUAGUACAGGGAGCCAAAUGCAAUUCUAAGUGACGCCUAAAGAUUGUUAAAGAGAGUGUCUUUUUGUGCGAUUGCAAACUCAACAACCAAUGUACAUUUCCUGUCCAGGCUCUGUCCUCAGGUUCAUUUCCUCCUAGGUUAGACCUGGCCAGGCUACAGUCUCCCAGCAGAACUCCAGCAGGCCUGGGCAAGCAUCUCAGACAAGACUGAGCUCUUUGACUGUUCAUCUGUAUUUAAGACUCUGGGGGAAAGUGAAGAAUAAAAUACCACAGAUUGGUUUUAUUCCUCUCAAGAAAGAAUGUGGCAUACAAGAAAAAACGUCUUGGCUGAGAAUUAAAAACUUGAUCCUCCUGAACUAGGAACAGGGGGCCUUUUCCCUCUCUUUGUCAAACCAUUUAGGGCAUAAGGAUGCUUGCCACUGAUAGCCCAGUGGAUUGCAGAUCUUGAAAAUCAUUUGGGAGCUGUAAGAUCUUUGUAAAGAGAAAAUGAUGAUCUUAGACUAGACAGCAUGAGAAAAAAAAAAAGAGGAAAUAAUAACUGUAUCAUCAGAUUUUCUCAAUCAACCAACAUCUUUUCAAGUGCCUACCAUAUGUUUACACAACCUUCACAAAAUGAACAAAUGUCUUUGAAAGAUUCCUGCAAAGAAAUACGAGCUGGAGAUAAUAUAAAUAGUAAAAGCAUAAAAAACAAAAAGAAGAUUUCUGGAGUGACCCUCUUCCUUCUUUAUAAGUACUUUUUUAGCCACUUUAUAAGGCAAAGUGAUGAGCAUCCUAUCGGAGCUAAAAAAAGUUGACAAAAAAAUUCAAUGUUUAAAAAACAAUUAUCGGAAAUAUGGUUGACAUUUAUUAAUGUUAAUCAAGGAUAUUGUCUUAAGAGUUUUUGUCUUGAGAUACUAGCUAAUGAUAGCAGAAAAUUUCCCAAUUAGUAAGAUACUUAAAAAUGAAGCAUCUAGACCAUGAAGAAAAACAUUCUCCAUUUUUUCACUGACACUUAGUCAUUACAAUGCUUAAUCCAGUAUUUAACAACAUUUCAUUAAAUCUAAUGAUAAACAUA